CCCGUAGGUGAACCUGCGGAAGGAUCAUUACUGAGUGAGGGCCCCUCGGGGUCCAACCUCCCACCCGUGUUUAACGAACCUUUGUUGCUUCGGCGGGCCCGCCUCACGGCCGCCGGGGGGCUCCUGCCCCCGGGUCCGCGCCCGCCGAAGCCCCCCCCUUGAACGCUGUCUGAAGUUUGCAGUCUGAGAAACUAGCUAAUUUAGUUAAAACUUUCAACAACGGAUCUCUUGGUUCCGGCAUCGAUGAAGAACGCAGCGAAAUGCGAAAACUAAUGUGAAUUGCAGAAUUCAGUGAAUCAUCGAGUCUUUGAACGCACAUUGCGCCCUCUGGUAUUCCGGAGGGCAUGCCUGUCCGAGCGUCAUUGCUGCCCUCAAGCACGGCUUGUGUGUUGGGCCCCCGUCCCCCCCUCUGCCGGGGGGACGGGCCCGAAAGGCAGCGGCGGCACCGCGUCCGGUCCUCGAGCGUAUGGGGCUUCGUCACCCGCUCUUGUAGGCCCGGCCGGCGCCAGCCGACCCCAACCCUAAAUUUUUUUCAGGCUGACCUCGGAUCAGGUAGGGAUACCCGCUGAACUUAAGCAUAUCAAUAAGCGGAGGA
rnacentral:misc_RNA from 1 species